rnacentral:rRNA from 1 species
CCUACGGGAGGCAGCAGUGGGGAAUAUUGGACAAUGGGCGCAAGCCUGAUCCAGCAAUGCCGCGUGAGUGAUGAAGGCCUUAGGGUCGUAAAGCUCUUUUACCAGGGAUGAUAAUGACAGUACCUGGAGAAUAAGCUCCGGCUAACUCCGUGCCAGCAGCCGCGGUAAUACGGAGGGAGCUAGCGUUGUUCGGAAUUACUGGGCGUAAAGCGUACGUAGGCGGUUAUUCAAGUCAGAGGUGAAAGCCCGGGGCUCAACCCCGGAACGGCCUUUGAAACUAGGUAGCUAGAAUCUUGGAGAGGUCAGUGGAAUUCCGAGUGUAGAGGUGAAAUUCGUAGAUAUUCGGAAGAACACCAGUGGCGAAGGCGACUGACUGGACAAGUAUUGACGCUGAGGUACGAAAGCGUGGGGAGCAAACAGGAUUAGAUACCCUGGUAGUCCACGCCGUAAACGAUGAUAACUAGCUGUUCGGGCACUUGGUGCUUGAGUGGCGCAGCUAACGCAUUAAGUUAUCCGCCUGGGGAGUACGGUCGCAAGAUUAAACUUAGAA